UGUGUUUUUCGAGUUUGGUUUCGUUAAUGCGUGAAACAUAGCUUUUUGUGGUUCAUCCGAGAUUAAGGCUUCAUCGUUCCCUUCCUUCCUUACAGAAUUCAAACCGCCGUUUUACCAUUUCAUGAUCUGGAAACUACCUCUUCUCUUCUUAUCUCUAUACCUCCCCUGACGUUAUCUCUUCACCUCCUCUGAGGUUCGUUGUAUUGCUUUUAAUUCGGGAAUCAUUGUUAAUCACAUUAAACCCAGUCAUGAUGUUGACUCCUCUAUUUCCUUCAUCUGAUAUCUAUAGAUAUGAGCGGCUUAUGAGGAUGAUUGACCCUCAGAAUCACUGUCAGUUUAUCAGAGAUGUCUUCCUUCGAUGUUGUUAUCGUGCACUCCGCCUUCGACGCUCUCCGACUCGGUAGAUCUGCCCAGACCAUUGGUUGUCGUCGCCUCCAUUUUUGGACUCGAAAAACAUCAAGAAACAAGAUGAAUUCACGGGAAUCACUCUACUCCUCCUUUAUAAGAAGAAAUCGGUGAUACGUGGGUUCAUUCCUGCUGGCUGCGCCCCUUAUUACCAUCCGUCUUUGCGAGCAGGUUCAGUCAGGAUGGUCUCAGGAUUUGAAGUUGCAUGAUGUACAAAUAUGCAAAAGAUUACGGAACACCCUUUCGUGGUCCGGUUCAUACCCCAAACCACCAUUGAUGAAGUAAUCGAGAAUGCUCUCGUCAUCAACCUAGAGAAAUUCAUGCUGCGGAAGUUUGAUCCUCUUCAAGCUCUCGCUAACACUAAUUUAGAACUCCCUGUUGUUGUUGGGCAAUUUCAAUCUGUCCAAUGUUUGGACCUGAAGGACGCUACAGUGAUGAGUCAAGUUGUUAUUCGUUUCAUGAUUGAACCGUAAGUAACCAAAACCAUGAAUUAUUUCAAUUUCCAUAACAAGAGGGAGGUUGUGCAUCUUUGUGGGAUGAUGAAGGAGCAGUUUUUAGGGGUCUCUUCAACUGAGGUGAUAGGGCAGAGUCUGUAAUGGUGGUCACUACUGUGAAUCCCGAAAUAUUUGGAGGUAACCUAUACCUCAACUCAACACCAGCAACGAAAUUUUAUUUUGACCUAGUCCUUCAAGCCAUCACAGAGUUCACAGCCAGCUUAAAAGGCUCAGUUGGAGAAGUUUUCCAAUGUAUCGAUACCAAAGACGAAGAGAUAAAAAAAGGAAGUUGUCUCAAUAGGAGAUCUUAACAAGUUCAUCUCCAAUUCUGACGACCAGACACAUGAAGCUGAUUUUAUUUGCAAAGCUCGGGUUGUUGAGGUGUUGCAACAAAAUGGCUGGUCUUUUGUCUCUUGCUCUGGAUGCAGCAGGGAGCUUGACAAAUCAGGGACUUCUCUCCAUUGCAACUGAUGUGUUAAUCCGAACGUUACCAAAGUUAUAAAAGAGAUUCUUAAACUCACUAAGCAAGAGGCAGCUUCUCUGACUCUAGAUGAGAUGAAUGUUGGUGGCGGUGUGGAACUCCCACAAUGCCUGAAAGAACUAGCUGGAAAAUAUUUUGUAUUUCAGAUAUGUGUGAAACCAUUAAAUUUCACCCCGAACCACCAUACUUUCACUGUUUUUGCAAUCGUGAAUCACAUCAACCCGAGAUUUUCAAUACCAAUGAAGCAUCAUUUGUUCAAGAGGAAGGUGGUGAACCAUCCGCAUCUGUCACCUACAAAGUUGGUGGUAAAGCCAAUGAACCAUAUCCAUCCGGUGUUGAAGACCAAGAGGGUGGCCGUAAACGCCCCCGCGAUUGAAAUUACAAAGCUGUUAAGUGUUGACCCAAGUCUGCUUCUGUGUCUUUACAAUUUCAGGACCUACUUUGCAUUUCCUAUUUGAGACUCUUAUAUUUUUUUUUCAAAUUUCCAGGUUUUUUUGGCCAUUUACGGCUAACUAAUUCCAUGAGGAGAACAGUUUUAAAGAUUUAAUAUAAAAAGGGCCAGUUGACAAAAU